CGCAGGACAGGUCAAGUGCACCCGUAGGCGUGCUCGGGACGUGCCUCACCAUAACGCCGGCGUCACGGUGACUAACACAGCGGUGCCCUGGUGCAAACGUCCACUUGUUCACCCGUCUGCUCAGCCCCCAAAUGUCUCCUCCUCAUCAUGGACAGCGGGCUCUCUGCUGGAUCUGUCAGCUCAUGGGCACGACAGCCACUCUCCCAGCGUCUCUGCAGUGACUGUCUGAGGUUCUCUUCACCCCGGCCGGGGCCCCAACAUAACCUGGGGAUCAGCGAUCGUGCUGGACUUUGGGCCCCUAAACAAGAAUAAAUCUGCAUAUCUUCCAUCCAUUGGCAGUUAAAGUUUAGUCUCAAAACAGAUCUCUUUCUACAACUGACAAGAAACACAGACCCUGGGCUCCUGCCUCGAAAAUGGAGAAGAGCUAGAAUAUAUGUUGAUGGCAAUUUCUCUUUCUUCAUUUUACUGCUGAGCAUGCUGAGUGAGUGUGGAGAGGGACCGGGGAAGCAAGAGUCUCAGGAGCUGUGAAGCAUCCUCCCCUCCAACCCCGCACUGCCCGAGGACCCACAUGAGCCCUGGUGUGCGACUCUCCACACACUUGAAGACACGCUGGAACCUCCUCUGCCCUGCUUGAACUCAAGGUUCCGUGGACUCUGCCCUCUAGCGCUCUUACUUAAAGCGGAGAUUCGAGCAGGAAGACACUGCCAUCUGGGAGACGACACCCGCUUGGUGAUGCCCAAGUCUCGGAAGGUCCUUGCAUUCCUACCCCCCACCAUAGUUUUAUCAAGCGUCCAUGGCCCCAGGCUCACUCAUCGCCCCGCGCAGAAGAGCAGCUCUGUCUCCCAUCAAAACCAUGCUCAGGCCGGCUCCCAUCCUGGACCGGAGCAGAGCAUCUCCGCUCUUCACGCCUCCAGCUCCGCAGCGCCCUGCAGACCCCCUUCCUUCACACGGCCAUCUUCCUCCAUAUCCACGGACGCGCCUUGAGGGCAUGUGGACUACGCUGACCACCCAGCUUCUCUCCUCCCCCAGGUCCCAUCAUAGACUGCCCCCACCCCACUCCUCUCACAAAGAACCUGCAUGCCCAGCUCUAGUAAGAGGGACCCUGUGCUGACCUCGGUUUCGGGGCCUUACUGCGGGGGAGUCUGGGGCCAGCUGACCUCUGCUUCUGCCUCCUCCUCCCUGGGGGACCACCUGACGGGUCUCCUCGAGGAGAUGCUGGGAAGAUACUGCAGAGCGAGAGCUGGCUGCCAGGGCUGGCGGGAACCACCGAGCUGAUUUCAGCUUUUCCCACUUUCACUGUGCUUUGCCAAAGGUCUUGAGCUCCUAAACAAAACCCCUGGCAUCCUUAUGCUGCAACGGCAGUCAGUGCCAUCAGAGGUUCAGGCUGGAAUGUGGCCUGAGGGAGGAAGAGAGGAAAAAAUAGGCCUUUGAUGUGGGUGCUUUCCUGGUGGCUCAGAUGGUAAAGAAUCCGCCUGCAAAUAGGAGACCCAGGUUCAACUCCUGAGUUGGGAAGAUGCCCUGGAGGAGAGCUCAGCAACCCACUCCAGGGUUCUUGCCUGGGGAUUUCCGUGGACAGAGGAGCCUGGCAGGCUUACAGUCCACAGGGUGGCAAAGAGUCAGACAUGACUGAGUGACUAACACCUUCACUUUCAUGUGGACACGUGGACGUUUGUGGCAUCUGUUCUGUGCCUGAAAUCAAUUCCUAUUCCCUUCAUCUGGCAGUUAAUCUUCCUCUACCAGUAAUGCAAGUUCUCUUCCAGGAACUGGAGAACGCUUUUCAGAAGCAGAUUUUGUGUGCUCCAGGAAAUCCUGGUGUGUAACAUGAAAUAAAUGUUUUGAACUCAAAUGGUGAGUGAGCCUUUCAGAAGACUCUUUUUAGCUGGGGAGGUCAGAGUCAGCCUUUUGGAGGAAAGUGAUGGAAACGCAGCUUGGACCCCACAGGACACUGGCAGCCCCUGGUCACGUCCCUGGGCUUCUGCGUCCACUCCGAGCUCUUUGGUGGCAAACCAGCUGCUUCUGGA
ensembl:lncRNA